GUCAGCUGGGAAGGCUGCAAGAUGCUUUGGGGAACCUCAUGCUUCCUGGUGACAGCUUUGUGGAGCCAAUGAGUGGGAAGACAGUCUGGCUACAGAGGGCUUCUCAACAGGAGGGCCAGACAUUGCCCCAUAUGGGAGGGUCACAGGCCCUGCUGGACGCCAAUGUGCUGGUGGCCCAGAGGCAAGUGAUUGCAGUGCUCCAGCAGUGCCAGGCGAGUCCAGAGUCGGGGGUGCAGGGGCCUUUGGAGGCUACCAUCAAGGACAUAGACAGGCACUGGCCUUGAGCCUGCACCACAUCCUGCAGCAGGCUCGGAGGCUGGAGAGGCAGCUGGCAGCAGCGGAUGACACUGAAGCCAGCGGCGGCAGGAUAGGAAUGAUGCACUAUCCCAGGACAGAGCUGUGGGCCCCAGCCCUGUAUGAAAUGGAGAUCCCAGAUCCUGAGGGUUCAGGGCUCAUGGUGCCCAUCCUGGGCAUGGAGCAUGAUGAGAAUUCGGGCGAUGCCACACCUCUGGCAGGCUCAACAGCAAAGGUAAAAGAGGACUUGGGACCUCUGAGAGCUCAGAAAGAGAAACCUCACCCCCCGUAAAGCUCAGGAGGGGGUACCAAGGUACCAAGGGAAGGGGUCAUUCUGAUCUUCUGCUAGGGCUGCUGACACCCAAAAUUAAAGGUGCCCAGAAAUUCCAAAACCGCAGGACCACAAAUCAUGUAUGCCUCCUCUAGAAAAUUGGGUCUUUUCAAAGACCAGCACUUCAGAAACUCACCACCCACCCACCCCAGGGCUGUGGCCACCAAGAGCCCUAUGACCCAGCUCAGAGCCCCUUGAAGGGAGAUCAAGGGCUCUUCUGGCUUCGUUUUUACCAUGCAUCUUUCUUCCUAUAACUGUCCUUCCUUCCUUCCCCAGCUCUAGUUUCUAAAGCCAGCGAUGGGCUUGGCUUCCACAGGUCUUAUCCCAAUUUCAAUCGGGGCUCAAGCCAUAGACCUCUUGACUGGGGAGCCUGGUCCCGUCACUGGAGCUCAAAGGGAUCCCUCUUCCAGAGUGGUGGUGCCCAUUGUCCAGGUGCUGGAGUCCUUACCUCGAGGAGUGAGAGACCCUGGUCUGCUGGAUGUCCUGGAGCGGGAGCUGAGGGCCCGGGAGCAGUACUGGCACCACCAGGAACAGGAGGAGGAGAUGCUACUGGAUCACCUGGGGCACCUGAGCCAGGAGCUCCACUUCACUGCAGGCAAUGGCAUGGAGCAGCAGGUGGUUCAUCGUCUCUCUGAUGAGUUUCGAGGGCUGAUGAGGGAGAGACAGAACUUCCUGGCUAGGGCCCUGGGUCAGCUACGGUACCGACGGGAAUGGAGCCGCCUCCAGAUCCUGCACACCCAGACGACUGCCUCAGGAAGCCCUGUGUGUUUGGAGAAUUACCCUGGACACAUAUUCUAUGCAACAGUCACAACUUCUGUCAGGGACCGGGCCACUGCCUGUCCCGUGUUGAUCCCUUUCCUGAAGCAACUCACUGCAGCUCAAGGGCUGGAGGAUCAGAGGCCAGGAACAGGUCAGGCUGGUCCCUACUCCAGCGUUGCCUCCUGCUGCCAAUCCUGGCCAUGUUUCGUUUCUUUGGGCUAAAGAUCUGGAUGCAGCAUAGCUGGAUGCAUCUGGCCCAGGGUCUCCACAAGCUACAAGUAGGCCAGGACUGCAGUCAUCUCAAGGCUUGACUGCAGGAGGAUGGAGGAUUCACUUCCGAGCUCACUCUUGUGGCUAUUGGUAGACCCCAAGUCCUCGUUGGCUGUUGGCCAGAGACAACAACUCCUGCCACAAGAUCUUCGUGGGCAGCUCACAACAUGGCAGCUGGCUGCUCUCAGAGCAAGCAGGCCAGAGAGUGAGAGAGGGUAAGCAAAGUAGAAGCCAAAGUCCUUUUUUGAAACAGAGUCUCUCUCUGUCACUGAGGCCGGAGUGCAGUGGUGCAAUCUCUGCUCACCGCAACCUCCGCCUCCCAGGUUCAAGCAAUUCUCCUGUCUCAGCCCCCCAAGUAGCUGAGAUUACAGGUGCAUGCCACCAUGCCCGGCUAAUUUUUUUUGUAUUUUUAGUAGAGACAGGGUUUCGCCAUGUUGGCCAGGCUGGUCUCAAACUCCUGGCCUCCUAAAGUGCUGGGAUUACAGGUGUGAGCCACCACACCCACACCCACCAUCUUUUUGACUCUUAAUCUCAGAAAUGACAGCCCAUCACUUUUGCCAUGUUCUAUCCAUUUGGCUACACCAUUAGAUCCAACCCACACGCAAGGGGAAGGAAUUAUACAAGGGCAUGGAUACACGUCAGGGGGUCGCUGGGGCCAUCUUAGAGGCUGCCUGUCAUACCUGAUGCUACAUCUGGCCCCUUUUGGCUUUGACCACCUCCCUAGGCCCUCACCCCAAUAACCAUUGUAUUCCCCUCUGUUCAGAUACAGAUAAAGCUAACAUCAUCUGGGCUUCACCAUUCUUCUCCAUCCUGAAGAAAACAGAUAAUCUGGCCCCAAGACCACAAGGAAGACACUGAACUGCAAAAACAAGUGUAUCACAAACCAGGUAACCUCCUUUUCCCUUGUAGGCCCUGUUUGGAAUUAUCAUGGGAGCACUGAAGGUAUGUGAUGGUAUAACCCCUGGGAUCUAGGAAUGUCAGAAUCCUGCCUUGCCAAACAUCUCUUUCUCUCUACCUCCACACUAAGGUUCCCCAAGUGAUUUUCCCAUAUAAGGAAUAACAAAUAGCAAUCAAAGUAACCCUAUAAUUAUAACUGGGCCAAUUUCCAAAAGGGAAUUUCCAAAGACCUCUGCCUUCCCACCAAAGGCUGAAUCUCAAUCUUGGGACUUCACCCCAUACCAGCCAGCCACAUGUUAGAAGGGGCUAAUGGAAAGGUAUAAGGCAGAAAAGGGAGAAAAUGAAAAGGGACAAAAACAGAGCUAAUGAACAAAGAAGAGACCUUGCUCCCCAAAGGGACCCCAAAUCACUUUAUCAGUGCCCCUCCCUGGAAUUGGAAGUCAAGAGAGAAUGUGGCUUGCCUAACCUGAAGAGCCAGGUCUGUUUCAACUGACACACCUCCCAAAUGGAAGAGAAGUAACAGAAAAUGAAUGUGUGCCUGUCAGUAGACCACAGUGCAGGCUCCAGGUAAGCACAGAGCCAUGAACACCCCUGAACUUGAGCAGGGAAGUGCAGACUAUGGCCCACAGGCCAUCCUCAGCCUGCUACCCGGCCCACAAGCUAAGAAAGAUUUUGCAUGGCCCACAAGCUAAGAAAGAGUUUACAUUUUAAAACAAUUAGAGAAAAAAUGAUAAAAGAAUAAACAUUUUAUGGAUUGCUUCA
rnacentral:lncRNA from 13 species